UGCUCUAUCAAAACAUGGUCUUAUCCAAAAGGCUAAGAUUCUAUUUAUCCAGACGAUGCGGUUUCCAAGCAUUCCUAUUUCCUUAAAAACGGGCCCUGAAAGUAUGUUGUCGAACAAUGAUACAACAGCAAACCUGAUCAGAUCACUCGGUGUCGUGCGUUUAGAUGGGCAAUUUGGUCGCCAGAAAUUGAGAAAGAUGAGCUUUAACAGUGCGCCCGGUAGCACAGGGUGACUUCUAGUCACCUGUGUAAUGGUAUCUGUGGCAUAGGGUGCAUAAUACCUGGUUCAGAUCAGACCAUCAGGCAUCUUUAUUUGCACCGAGCUGUUGUUUGCAAGCCAGAUGGCAUUAUGGAUUCAAAUGAGCGCACUGGCUUGCAAACUAGUUUAGCAUGUGUUUAUUGUCAUUGAUCUAAGCAAGAAAGUCCAUAAAUCUGACCUGUUUCAUUUGGCAAGAGAUUGACAACAGAACAAUGCCAGCGUUUCAUGGUCUGAUGGCCCUCGAAAGCUUGGAGAUGGUAUGAGAAACUAACAACAAUCACGUUCCUCAAUCAAAACUUAGUGCAAGUUUCGAAGCAUGAUAGCAAUGGAUUACUCCAUUUGAUCAGAGUAUGACUAACCAGACCGAUAACCUUCUGUAAUUACUCUCAACAUAAAAUUAACACACCUAAAUUGGCAUCAACUUACCGGCAAAGGUAAUUUGGGCAUAUGACAGAUCGACUGCAGAAACCUAGAGAAAGCUUGUGCCAUAGACCAGGUUGUUUUAAGUCCACAACCAAAAGAUACCACCACCACUGUUCUAAGUUGGAAGCAGUAGAUGAAAAUUUGCCAGAAUAGGGUCUUUUCUCG
rnacentral:lncRNA from 1 species